CGGGACGUAGCGCAGCCUGGUAGCGCACCUGCCUUGGGCGCAGGGGGUCGGAGGUUCGAAUCCUCUCGUCCCGA
rnacentral:tRNA from 1 species